rnacentral:lncRNA from 1 species
CAAUAAUGGCCUCUUCCCACUACCUGGUGACGGCUAGCACAAUCCAGGGAGACAUUGGCUGUGAGGUCUGGGAUGAACCACCAAGCGCUCCACGUUAAUUAUUAUUAUUACCUCUGCCUGACUGACGAAAGAAGCGGGGAAGGAUGCCACAGGAUCAGACAGGCCUGUGGAGAUCAGGAUCGAAACUACAUUUCCAAGGCCCUCUGCAGUUAGGUUAACACAGUGAUCUAAUUCAGACUAAUGGAAAAUGCUGUGUGCCACUUCCGGGCCUGGCACAUGCAAAUCUCUUCUGUGUGACCUUCCAUUCUUUACCUGACCUGCGGAGACCUUGGAGGCCACACACUGAAGAUGGCAGCUCCAUCUGAUGGAAGGAGCCUGGAAUGACUCCACGAUGACUGCAUGGAGUGGAAGGCCC